GAUAACUUUGAUUUUUACAUUUUUUUAACGGUGAGAACAAGUCAGAAGAAGAGUCGUAUUCCAUGACCCGUGAAAAUGAUGUGAAAUUUAUAAAUAAAGUUUUAUUGGAACACUGCCACACCUGGUUAUUUAUAGACCAUCUGGAUGCUUGUGCCCCGAGAUGGCAGAUGCUCCAGAAUGAUUCCCCUUUGGAGGCUGCUAGAGAUACCCUCGCUGAUAAGGGGCUGAUUUGUGAAGACUUAAUUAUGGCCCCGAGCCCUCGCUGUAAACAAUUGAUGCUAUCCAAGAGGUGCUUGAUGCUGCUGCACUUGGUGGACCUGGGUCCUGGGACUAGUUCUCCGAGACCAAGGCCACGGAAGCCGAGUCCGGGAAGCCGGCACUGACAUAGAUCCUACCUGAGGGGCAGGGCUGGGGGCCCACCAACUGAGGUGCGUGGAGCGCCCGGAAGAUAGCAGGAGUGCGUGCGUGCGUGCAUGUGUGUGUGCGCGAGUGCAUGUGCAUGUGCGUGUGUGUCCUCCUGUCUGUGCGUCCACCUGAGCGUCUACUUGGGAGUGUCUGCACAUGGUCUGCAGAUGGGUUUGUGUGUCUCCGUGUGCACACCUGGUGUCCAUGUCUCUGGGUGUGUUUGUACAUCUGUCCACACCUCUGUCCAGCGUGGCCAGGUCCAGCCCAGAUACUGGACAGGCGGGGGAGGCUGUGAUCUCGGCCUCAUUGUCUAUGGUCUGGAGGGAGAUGGCCAGUAAGGAGUCCCUCCCGGAAAAGCUUAGUCUCUGCGGGGAAGGAAACCCCAUGCUGUGAGGGCAGAGUGUGAGGGGCCAGGGCCCGGAGACAA